GACAGAGGUGCCGAGCGUUAGGCGGAAUCACUGGGCUUAAAGCGUGUGUAGGCGGAUCUGUAAGUACCUUGUGAAAUCCCACGGCUCAACCGUGGAACUGCUUGGUAUACUGCGGGUCUUGAGCCACCUAGGGGCAAGUGGAACAAACGGUGGAGCGGUGAAAUGCGUAGAUAUCGGGAGGAACACCUGUGGCGAAAGCGGCUCACUGGACCACAACUGACGCUGAUGCACGAAAGCUAGGGGAGCAAACAGG
rnacentral:rRNA from 1 species